rnacentral:rRNA from 1 species
GACGAACGCUGGCGGCGUGCUUAACACAUGCAAGUCGAACGGAAAGGCCCUGCUUUUGUGGGGUGCUCGAGUGGCGAACGGGUGAGUAACACGUGAGUAACCUGCCCUUGACUUUGGGAUAACUUCAGGAAACUGGGGCUAAUACCGGAUAGGAGCUCCUGCUGCAUGGUGGGGGUUGGAAAGUUUCGGCGGUUGGGGAUGGACUCGCGGCUUAUCAGCUUGUUGGUGGGGUAGUGGCUUACCAAGGCUUUGACGGGUAGCCGGCCUGAGAGGGUGACCGGCCACAUUGGGACUGAGAUACGGCCCAGACUCCUACGGGAGGCAGCAGUGGGGAAUAUUGCAAAAUGGGCGGAAGCCUGAUGCAGCAACGCCGCGUGCGGGAUGACGGCCUUCGGGUUGUAAACCGCUUUCGCCUGUGACGAAGCGUGAGUGACGGUAAUGGGUAAAGAAGCACCGGCUAACUACGCG